AACGAACGCUGGCGGCGUGCCUAACACAUGCAAGUCGAACGAGAAAGGGGCUUCGGCUCCGAGUAAAGUGGCGCACGGGUGAGUAACACGUAGGUAACCUGCCUCUAAGAUUGGGAUAACAUGUCGAAAGACGUGCUAAUACCGAAUAAGACCACGGCUUCCUCGGAAGCAGGGGUCAAAGAUAGCCUCUACUUGUAAGCUAUCACUUAGAGAUGGGCCUGCGUACCAUUAGCUAGUUGGUAGGGUAAUGGCCUACCAAGGCAAGAUGGUUAGCUGGUCUGAGAGGAUGAUCAGCCACACUGGAACUGAGACACGGUCCAGACUCCUACGGGAGGCAGCAGUGGGGAAUAUUGCGCAAUGGGCGAAAGCCUGACGCAGCAACGCCGCGUGAGUGAUGAAGGCC
rnacentral:rRNA from 1 species